UUCAUAUUGAGUGAUUCUGCCUUCUGGAAACAUUUCUCCAAAUCAGCUUUCUCUUUUCUCCACUCCCUUCUGACACUUUAACUACCUAUUGUACUGCUUUCUAGGAGUCAUCGGAAGCCAGUAUGGUCUUGUUCCCCACUUUGGGCAAGGGUACCUAGCCAUGUGCAAAGUGAGGCUUACCUAUGGUCUGUCUUUUGAGGCGAUCCAAGGUGAGGUCUGAAGUGCUUGAGUCCAGAGAAGGUGCUGGUAAGAAAUAUUGCGAGAUGGGGUGGGGCAGGGAUAUGUUGAUUAAAACAGAUGAGAUCCCCUGAUAUGACAGUGUGGGGUUUCCUCUGAUUGGCCCAUGGUGACUUGCCCCAUUUCCACCAAGUACAAAGACACAGGGACCGCCAAUUGUGUUAAGGAGGAACUGGAUUUCUCUAUCCUCUGCCCCACUCUCUAUUGCAAACUAUUAGUUGUAUAUUGAUCAUUGCUACCACAGAACUUACUCUUGGCAUGCUCAGAUCCUUGCUACCUCUGUCACCCCUACUGCUGCUGCUUCUGCUUCUGCUUCUGGUGCAUCUGCUUCAUUGUUUUGUCCAUUGCAGGCUGGGAAGGGCCAGGAGCUUCUGGAACCAAUAAGUGAGCAUUCCAAAGCCUCAUGCUCAGGAAACUGCAGAAAACACCAGUAAUGUCAGUCAACACAGAAUAACCCUUACAGCCAGCAGCACCUGCAAGGACUUGGGAAAGGCUAUACCUUUUUGAGCAAAGAAAACCUGGGUGGAAGAGAGGCACACAGUUGGCGCUUCUUGGCUCAGGCCAUAUGGGAAGGGACAGUCAUUUACAGAUUCACAACUGGCCUUUUCUAAUUCUUUGAAAAACUCCUUAUUUUCAGAUCUCUUUCAGAGAAGAGGCUCCUGUUGAUUGAUACAGAUGUGGGGCAAAGGCAGACCCACAAGUGCAUGGGUCAAGAAGUACAAGAAAAGAAAGAUAUGUUCUGAUUCCAGGAGCAUAUAGCACCUUAUCCUGACCAGGGUGGUGAGAGAACACUAUCUGAGGCAGCUUGAAGAACUUCCUCACUGGGAACAGUUCCUUUCUGUUCUGGCAAGAUCCAAGUGACCAGGGUCCCAGAAAGCCCUUUUUUCGCAUUCAAAUUCAGUGGUCAGCCCUUGGCACUAACCGGCCUGUCCUAGCGUUAGCACAGUGCAUCACUGCGUCUUCUGUGAUGCUGUGUUCAGCUGCUUCUGGUGAUUCACUCUAGACUUUACAUCAUGUCCCAGUGGCUACUUCUGAGUCCUGCUUGCUGGGACUCCUGCCUGAGGACAUUUCUCUGGCAAUGCCCCGCGUCACAAACGUGUGAAAUGUUUGCCUGGGGAAAACACACAGAACGAAAUGUGAUGCCAGAGCUUACUGCUGUUUUGUCACACGAGUGUUUUCGACUAAGAUAAGCCAACUUCCCAGAUUCCCAGAGAGAUUAUUUCUUCUGCUGCCGAAAGAAUACCAGGAUGUAGCAGUGGAAAUAGAGAACUUCAACAGUAAACUUGGAUUGGGAAGUCCUAACCUGUAUCUACCUCACCAGUUUCUUCGUCGUAGUGUGUCCUGGCAUGCUGGGAGCUCACGUCUUCUGUAAACUCUUGGCAUCUUGGAGUGUGGAGCUUCGAUGAUCUGGGAGCUGGAUAUGGAUGAAGAACCUAGGGAGAGGGGACAGAAAAGGUGUCCCGACUUAAGAACAACCAAAGGGAAGUUCUUUCAGUCACUUGAGUAAAUAUCUCCAUUGAAGGAGUCCAAGAAAGAAGCUGACUGAAGGACAGUUGUCUCUGUUCAUGCAUGCUUUGGAGAUGAUUUGAAGUUGGUGAAACUGAGGCCCAGAGACAGAUACAAUUUUCCUAAGUCAUUGUGACUAUUCCAGCAGCACAUUGGCCAGACAAGCUUUUUAUAGAUAUGGUCGAGGAAUAGAGUAGUGUGAGAAGACUUCUCAGUGCUUGUGAGAAUAUUCCUAAAAAUCCAGACAUUGGCCUUGUGACCAAAGUUUCCUCAAAAUACCAAAUUGUCCAUGGACUGUGUUUUCAUGCUCCUCACGUGUUUUGGAUAGAGGUCACAGUGCUGAUUUGUCCCUGCCCUUAAUCUGCCUGUUGGGAUCACAGUGAUUCUGGAAGAAUUACAGCACUUUUUAUGUGAUGCUGAUUUUCAGGGUUAAUUUAAUAAAAUUUUGUUCUCU
rnacentral:lncRNA from 1 species